rnacentral:antisense_RNA from 1 species
UUUGACGGAGCCGAGCCACAAGGGCCGGUCGGUGUCGCGGUUCUGGCCGUAGGUGGCCAGCAGGGCCUGGGCCUC